AGCGAACGCUGGCGGCAGGCCUAACACAUGCAAGUCGAACGGACCCUUCGGGGUUAGUGGCGGACGGGUGAGUAACACGUGGGAACGUGCCUUUAGGUUCGGAAUAGCUCCUGGAAACGGGUGGUAAUGCCGAAUGUGCCCUUCGGGGGAAAGAUUUAUCGCCUUUAGAGCGGCCCGCGUCUGAUUAGCUAGUUGGUGAGGUAACGGCUCACCAAGGCGACGAUCAGUAGCUGGUCUGAGAGGAUGACCAGCCACACUGGGACUGAGACACGGCCCAGACUCCUACGGGAGGCAGCCGUGGGGAAUAUAGCACGAUGUUCUAAAGCCUGACCAAUCCAUGCCGCGUGAAUGAUAAAGGUCUUAGGAUUGAAAAAUUCUUCCACCGGGUAAGAUACAGCAUGCACCCGAACAAGAAGCCCCCCCUACCCUCCUG
rnacentral:rRNA from 1 species